rnacentral:rRNA from 1 species
AACGAACGCUGGCGGCAGGCUUAACACAUGCAAGUCGAACGGGUGCAGCAAUGCAUCAGUGGCAGACGGGUGAGUAACACGUGGGAACCUUCCUAGGGGUACGGAACAACUCAGGGAAACUUGAGCUAAUACCGUAUACGUCCGUGAGGAGAAAGAUUUAUCGCCCUUAGACGGGCCCGCGUCGGAUUAGCUCGUUGGUGGGGUAACGGCCUACCAAGGCGACGAUCCGUAGCUGAGCUUAGAGGAUGAUCAGCCACACUGGGACUGAGACACGGCCCAGACUCCUCCGGGAGGCAGCAGUGGGGAAUCUUGGAAAAUGGGCGCAAGCCUGAUCCAGCCAUGCCGCGUGAGUGAAGAAGGUCUUCGGAUUGUAAAGCUCUUUUGCCAGGGACGAUAAUGACGGUACCUGGAGAAUAAGCCCCGGCAAACUUCGUGCCAGCCGCCGCCGUAA